rnacentral:rRNA from 1 species
CCUACGGGAGGCAGCAGUGAGGAAUUUUCCGCAAUGGGCGAAAGCCUGACGGAGCAAUACCGCGUGAGGGAUGAAGGAUUUUGGUCUGUAAACCUCUUUUCUCAAGAAAGAAGUUCUGACGGUACUUGAGGAAUAAGCAUCGGCUAACUCCGUGCCAGCAGCCGCGGUAAUACGGGGGAUGCAAGCGUUAUCCGGAAUGAUUGGGCGUAAAGCGCCUGUAGGUUGUUUAUUAAGUCCGUUGUUAAAGCCUAGGGCUCAACCCUAGAAAAGCAAUGGAAACUAGUAGACUAGAGUAUGGCAGGGGUAGAGGGAAUUUCUAGUGUAGCGGUGAAAUGCGUAGAUAUUAGAAAGAACACCGGUGGCGAAAGCGCUCUACUGGACCAUUACUGACACUCAGAGGCGAAAGCUAGGGUAGCAAAAGGGAUUAGAUACCCCUGUAGUCCUAGCCGUAAACGAUGGAUACUAGAUGUUGUGCAUUAUGUACAGUAUCGUAGCUAACGCGUUAAGUAUCCCGCCCGGGGAGUACGCUCGCAAGGGUGAAACUCAAAGGAAUUGACGG